UCGAAGGUAGCAUAAUCAGUAGUUUUUUAAUUGAAAACUAGUAUGAAUGGUUCAAUGAGAUAUUUUCUGUUUCAUAAAAAUUUUAAUAUAAUUUAAUUUUUUAGUUAAAAAGCUAAAAUAUAUUUAAAAGACGAGAAGACCCUAUAGAGUUUUAUAUAAAUUUAAUUAUAAUUUAUUUAUAAAAUAUUAAGUUUUAAUAAUAUUUAUAUUUUGUUGGGGUGACAAUAAAAUUUUAAAAUCUUUUAUUUAAUUUAUAACAAUGAUUUUUGAUUAAUUGAUCCAUUUUUAUUGAUUAUAAGAUUAAAUUACCUUAGGGAUAACAGCGUAAUUUUUUUGGAGAGUUCUUAUCGAUAAAAAUUUUUGCGACCUCGAUGUUGGAUUAA
rnacentral:rRNA from 1 species